GAUGAACGCUGGCGGCGUGCUUAACACAUGCAAGUCGAGCGAGAAGUUUUGAAAAGAUUCUUCGGAUGAAAUUUAAAAUGGAAAGCGGCGGACGGGUGAGUAACGCGUAGGCAACCUGCCCCAUACAAAGGGAUAGCAUUUGGAAACGAAUAUUAAUACCUUAUGAAACUUAACUAGUGCAUGCUAGGUAGGUCAAAGAUUUAUCGGUAUGGGAUGGGCCUGCGUCUGAUUAGCUAGUUGGUGAGGUAACGGCUCACCAAGGCGACGAUCAGCAGCCGACCUGAGAGGGUGAACGGCCACAUUGGAACUGAGACACGGUCCAAACUCCUACGGGAGGCAGCAGUGGGGAAUAUUGCACAAUGGGGGAAACCCUGAUGCAGCAACGCCGCGUGAACGAUGAAGGCCUUUGGGUCGUAAAGUUCUGUUCUAGGUGAUGAAAACUGACAGUAACCUAGGAGCNNGCCCCGGCUAACUCCGUGCCAGCAGCCGCGGUAAUACGGAGGGGGCAAGCGUUAUCCGGAAUUAUUGGGCGUAAAGGGUACGUAGGUGGCCUUUUAAGCGUAGGGUAUAAGGCAAUGGCUCAACCAUUGUUCGCCCUAUGAACUGGAAGGCUUGAGUGCAGGAGAGGAAAGCGGAAUUCCUAGUGUAGCGGUGGAAUGCAUAGAUAUUAGGAGGAACAUCAGCGGCGAAGGCGGCUUUCUGGACUGCAACUGACACUGAGGUACGAAAGCGUGGGGAGCAAACAGG
rnacentral:rRNA from 1 species